GGUCAAGCUACAAAGGGCUUCAG
rnacentral:rRNA from 1 species